GCAGAAAGAAGAAGAGAAGCAAAGGGAGGCAGAGUGGGACUAUCAUCGCGUAAAAACAGCCCGUAUGGCUAUACUUCUUGAGAGACAGCAGGAGCGGCUCAGACGUAAUUUUCGCAAAACAUUGGAUGCUGCUAAUAUGCAGCUGGCCCAUGAAAAUAAAGAACAACAGAAGCAUCUUCAUAGUGUUGUCUAUUCAUAUGUUCCAACUGCCCAGUACUUCGAACAGUUUAAUAAAACAAAUCGUUGAAGUGACCGAGGAAAGACUGAGGAGCUAUUUUGACAAUAUUUUAAAGGUUUCCCUAUGGUAGUGUACAUUUUGAAACUGGAAAUAAGUCUAGGCAACUGGCAUGUGUCAUGCUUUGUUGUUUUGAAUUAAUUGUGUGGAUCUUCAAAUACUUGUACAUUUAACUUUUGUCUUUUUCUUAUUAUGUUGUGUUAAAACUGUAACCUUCAUCAAUAAACAGUCUCAAGUUUGUAUUUUA